rnacentral:rRNA from 1 species
UAGGGAAUCUUCCACAAUGGACGCAAGUCUGAUGGAGCAACGCCGCGUGAGUGAAGAAGGUCUUCGUAUCGUAAAACUCUGUUGUUAGAGAAGAACACGAGUGAGAGUAACUGUUCAUUCGAUGACGGUAUCUAACCAGCAAGUCACGGCUAACUACGUGCCAG